GGCAGUUCCCCGGUGAUUCACCCUGGAAUCAGGCUCCUUCCUCUCUGGUUCUGGGUGCGUCACCCAAGAACCACA
rfam:Myotis davidii contig93731, whole genome shotgun sequence.